GGGGAUGUAGCUCAGUUGGUAGAGCACAAGACUUAAGUUCUUGGUGUCUAGGGUUCGAUUCCCUACAUCUCCA